GGCAGGCUAAUAUGAGAACUUUUAAAUCCUCCUUCCCAAAAUGUCAGGAUCUGUAGCAAAGCAAAGAGCAAACAAGCUCUGCCAUUACAGAGGAGCUGAGGGUGCAAGGGCUGUCUCUGAUGAGGCACUUGGGGAGAGAAGAGUGAGGGAUGCAUAAAUAGGGACAGAGAAGAAAGGAAGGAAAGAAAAUAAUUCCUUCAUCUCCAAUUUCUUCCAUAUGCUCUGUUCUGCUCUGAAGAUGUAUUUCUGAA
rnacentral:lncRNA from 12 species